AUUGAACGCUGGCGGCAGGCUUAACACAUGCAAGUCGAGCGGGGGAGGGUAGCUUGCUACCUAACCUAGCGGCGGACGGGUGAGUAAUGCUUAGGAAUCUGCCAUUUAGUGGGGGACAACAUUCCGAAAGGAAUGCUAAUACCGCAUACGUCCUACGGGAGAAAGCAGGGGAUCUUCGGACCUUGCGCUAAAUGAUGAGCCUAAGUCGGAUUAGCUAGUUGGUGGGGUAAAGGCCUACCAAGGCGACGAUCUGUAGCGGGUCUGAGAGGAUGAUCCGCCACACUGGGACUGAGACACGGCCCAGACUCCUACGGGAGGCAGCAGUGGGGAAUAUUGGACAAUGGGCGGAAGCCUGAUCCAGCCAUGCCGCGUGUGUGAAGAAGGCCUUAUGGUUGUAAAGCACUUUAAGCGAGGAGGAGGCUACCUAGAUUAAUACUCUAGGAUAGUGGACGUUACUCGCAGAAUAAGCACCGGCUAACUCUGUGCCAGCAGCCGCCGUAAAAC
rnacentral:rRNA from 1 species